CAGGCCUAACACAUGCAAGUCGAACGGACCUUUCGGGGUUAGUGGCGGACGGGUGAGUAACACGUGGGAACGUGCCCUUAGGUUCGGAAUAAGCCCGGGAAACUGGGUCUAAUACCGGAUGUGCCCUUUUGGGGAAAGAUUUAUCGCCUUUGGAGCGGCCCGCGUCUGAUUAGCUAGUUGGUGAGGUAAAGGCUCACCAAGGCGACGAUCAGUAGCUGGUCUGAGAGGAUGAUCAGCCACACUGGGACUGAGACACGGCCCAGACUCCUACGGGAGGCAGCAGUGGGGAAUCUUGCGCAAUGGGCGAAAGCCUGACGCAGCCAUGCCGCGUGUAUGAUGAAGGUCUUAGGAUUGUAAAAUACUUUCACCGGUGAAGAUAAUGACUGUAGCCGGAGAAGAAGCCCCGGCUAACUUCGUGCCAGCAGCCGCGG
rnacentral:rRNA from 1 species